AGGAUGAACGCUGGCGGCGUGCCUAACACAUGCAAGUCGAACGUCCUGUCUCGCAAGAGGCAGGGAGUGGCGGACGGGUGAGUACCACGUGGGUCAUCUACCGUGAGGUGAGGAAUACCGGCGAGAAAUCGCCGACAAGACCGCAUAGGCUCGAUGCAAGUCGAGCAAAGCUCUUUCGAGAGAGGGAGCGCCACACGAGGAGCCUGCGCCCGAUUAGCUAGCUGGUGGAGUAACGGUCCACCAGGGCGACGAUCGGUAGCUGGUCUGAGAGGACGAUCAGCCACACUGGGAUUGAGAACGGCCCAGACUCCUACGGGGGGCAGCAGUGAGGAAUUUUCGUCAAUGGGGGCAACCCUGAACGAGCAACGCCGCGUGCAGGAGAAGGUUUUCGGAUCGUAAACUGCUUUUCUCGGGAAGAGAAUGGACGGUACCCGAGGAAUCGAGCCCCGGCUAACUCGUGCCAGCAGCCGC
rnacentral:rRNA from 1 species